rnacentral:piRNA from 1 species
UAAGGCAUUUGCCAGGUGACACAGGUGC